UUUUAUAAGUUGAGGAUGCGUAAAAGCAAAGCAUAACUCCGCCGCACUCCUCUAUCCCAUGAACCUAUAUUAAACCACUCUACCAUAAAUUGAUUUUCCUAAACUCUAUUGCCUCUAAAAUCUAUUUCAACUCACAAACCUAAGGGUCCUCACCAACAUAAGGGUGGUUUAUAAGCAGCCCUGGUGAUGAGCAAAGUAACUUUAUGAACAAUGAAGAAGGUUGAAGGCCAUCCAUGGCCCCCAUCCACAGGCUUUAGAAAAAGUGUUGCUGGUUAGUGUUGACACAUUCUCCUCACCAUCCUAAGGAUGGUUCAUAAGGUAAUGGCUCGUACAACUCAUGUUAUUUGUUACAUGCUGUGAAAUUUUUAUUUGUAUGGCUUGUGCCUAUUUAUGUAUG